ACGAGGUGGUAACACCUAGUGGCAAACGAGCGAGUAAUGAAUAGGAACUUGCCUUUUAGUUUGGGAUAGCCAUUGGAAACGAUGGGUAAUACCAGAUAAUACCGCAUGCGGGAAAGAUUUAUCGCUAAAAGAUAGGCCUAUUUCGGAUUAGCUAGUUGGUGAGGUAAUGGCUCACCAAGGCAGUGAUCUGUAGCCGAUAUGAGAGUAUGGUCGGCCGCGCCGGAACUGAGACACGGUCCGGACUCC
rnacentral:rRNA from 1 species